GUGCUUGCUUCGGCAGCACAUAUACUAAAAUUGGAAUGACAUGGCCCCUGCACAAAGAUGACAUGCAAAUUUAUGAAGCAUUCUGUAUUUUU
ensembl:snRNA U6 U6 spliceosomal RNA